rnacentral:rRNA from 1 species
UACGUAGGGUGCAAGCGUUAAUCGGAAUUACUGGGCGUAAAGCGUGCGCAGGCGGUUUUGUAAGACAGAUGUGAAAUCCCCGGGCUCAACCUGGGAACUGCGUUUGUGACUGCAAGACUUGAGUGCGGCAGAGGGGGGUAGAAUUCCACGUGUAGCAGUGAAAUGCGUAGAGAUGUGGAGGAAUACCGAUGGCGAAGGCAGCCCCCUGGGUCGACACUGACGCUCAUG